rnacentral:rRNA from 1 species
GAUAAACGCUGGCGGCGUGCCUAACACAUGCAAGUCGAACGCCCUUACGCAAGUAAGGGAGUGGCGGACGGGUGAGGAACACGUGGGUGAUCUGCCUUGAGGUGAGGAAUACCGGCGAGAAAUCGCCGACAAUACCGCAUACGUUCGCAAGAACAAAGUCGCAAGACGCCUUGAGAUGAGCCUGCGUCCGAUUAGCUAGUUGGUGGGUAAAAGCCUACCAAGGCAGCGAUCGGUAGCUGGUCUGAGAGGACGAUCGGCCACACUGGGA